AGGCCUGUAGCUCUAACGGCAGAGCGGCGGUCUCCAAAACCGUAGGUUGGAGGUUCAAAUCCUCCCAGGCCUGCAA
rnacentral:tRNA from 1 species